CCAGGUCUCCGUGGAGGGAUGAGGCGUGGAGCUGCCUUCUCCACCGUUCCAAACCUGAGCCUCCCGAGGACCUUCAGACACCGAGGUCACCGGACUGGAAGGGAAAGUACUGCGGGAGGGACUGUGGAGGCUGCAAAGAUGGUAAAGAAGAUAGUCUCACUCCUAAAGAACACUUACUACUCUGACAGGGGAGACAAUUCACGUAAAUUUGUGCUGCAAAGCAAGUCAAUGCACCAGAAUGUAUGGAGGUGCUACAGAAUGAGAGAAGGCGAAGGAACGUCCCCUCACUGCCUUGGCCUUCAGGACAUAACCCCACCCAAGAAGAAAGCACCCAUAACAGGUUGGAGACAGGUGAGCAUGUGUUUUUACAAUUGGCGUGUUGGACGUACUGAGAACGGAGGCUGGGUGUGAACUGCAGCGGGGAGACGUUAGGAAGGCGUGUUUACACGGAAAAGGGAUGGAUAGGGCUCGGACAUAAUUUAGUGAGAACAAGAAGCACCACAGCCCACAGGCCAGAGGAGGAGCAUGUCCACUGGAAGACAGAGACCGAAAUCUGGCUAAGGAGGAGCGCUCUGGGCC